rnacentral:rRNA from 1 species
UACGGAGGGUGCAAGCGUUGUUCGGAAUUACUGGACGUAAAGCGCGCGCAGGCGGCUAUCCAAGUCAGUGGUGAAAGCCCGGAGCUCAACUCCGGAACUGCCAUUGAAACUGUUUAGCUUGAGGACGAGAGAGGUGAGUGGAAUUCCCAGUGUAGAGGUGAAAUUCGUAGAUAUUGGGAAGAACACCGGUGGCGAAGGCGGCUCACUGGCUCGUAUCUGACGCUCAGGCGCGACAGCGUGGGGAUCAAACAGG